CCACAGGACACACUGUUCCCAGGGCACAGACACCCUGGGCUUUGGUUGGGUCUUGGCCUCCAGGUAGGGCCCUGUUGGGCAGCGGGCAGCAACUCCUGAGACACUACUGUGAUUCUUGGUGGUGGCUGUGGUAAAAAACCUGCAGGGCUAGAGUUUGGGGUGAGAUUCAGCAGUAACUGUGGCCUCUCCUAGUGACAGUAUGUCACUCCCACUCCCAGCACGCAUGCCCACAGGCCACGGCCUCCACAUCACAAACCCCCCACCAAGUUGCCCAUCUAUGGAGCAGCUCCCAUACGGCAGGGUCAGGCUCUUACCUCCACCUCCAGGGCACAGACAGGGGGAGCUCUGUCUCACUGUAAGGCAAUGAGGAGAGUUGAGGGCCCAGACCAGGCUAGGGGCCAUCCCCUUUCCCGAGCAGGCCUCAGGGAAGGACCAGCCCCAUUCCCAUCUGACCUAGGUCUUAGCCCAGGAGCCUGCAUAGGGAAGAAAGGACAGACAGGGCCUCCUUACUGGCUGACACUCAGGAGGGGCUGGGGCAAGAGAGCAGAGGGAGCGCAGGGCCAGGCAGGGGCUGCUGAGGAUCCAUGGGAGCUCAGGGUGCACAAGGGGGCUGCCCUUCCUGGGCUGCAGGCAGCAUCCCCUAUGGGAGCUGAGAAAGUCCAAUCCUGAGAUGGGACAGUGCUGCCCAGGGGUGUGUGGCUGGGCCCUGACAACAGUCUCCCCAAAAGUGACCACAUCACCAGGCUCAGUUCCAGGAAGGCUGAGAAGUGCCCAGUACACUGAGGAUGCACCUCAGUUACAUAAAAUAAAUGAAACUGGAGUACUAACGUACAGUUUAAAGGUUAUAGUUACUAUUUUUAUAUGAUAUACUAGUAAUUUUUGAAUAGGGUAAACUUUAGGUGUUUUGACACCAAAAGAAAACUACAUGAGUUCAUGCAUGUGUUAAAUUGCUUUACUGUAGUAAUCAUUUACAUGUAUAUGUAUAUAUGAAUAUAAUUAUGGGCUCAUUAAAUUUAAAUAUUAUAAAUAGGUGACAAAGAAUAAAGUUAACUGGAAAACUGU